rnacentral:rRNA from 1 species
AGUGAACGCUGGCGGUAGGCCUAACACAUGCAAGUCGAACGGCAGCACAGUAAGAGCCUGCUCUUACGGGUGGCGAGUGGCGGACGGGUGAGGAAUACAUCGGAAUCUACUUUUUCGUGGGGGAUAACGUAGGGAAACUUAUGCUAAUACCGCAUACGACCUACGGGUGAAAGCAGGGGAUCUUCGGACCUUGCGCGAUUGAAUGAGCCGAUGUCGGAUUAGCUAGUUGGCGGGGUAAAGGCCCACCAAGGCGACGAUCCGUAGCUGGUCUGAGAGGAUGAUCAGCCACACUGGAACUGAGACACGGUCCAGACUCCUACGGGAGGCAGCAGUGGGGAAUAUUGGACAAUGGGCGCAAGCCUGAUCCAGCCAUACCGCGUGGGUGAAGAAGGCCUUCGGGUUGUAAAGCCCUUUUGUUGGGAAAGAAAAGCAGCAGGUUAAUACCCCGCUGUUCUGACGGUACCCAAAGAAUAAGCACCGGCUAACUUCGUG